rnacentral:rRNA from 1 species
CACGUAGGGGGCAAGCGUUGUCCGGAAUCAUUGGGCGUAAAGAGCUCGUAGGCGGCUCAAUAAGUCGGGUGUGAAACCCCCAGGCUCAACCUGGGGACGCCACCCGAUACUGUUGUGGCUAGAGUCCAGUAGGGGGGUGUGGAAUUCCCGGUGUAGCGGUGAAAUGCGCAGAUAUCGGGAGGAACACCAGCGGCGAAGGCGGCACUCUGGGCUGGUACUGACGCUGAGGAGCGAAAGCGUGGGUAGCAAACAGG